rnacentral:rRNA from 1 species
UGGGGGAUAUUGCACAAUGGGCGAAAGCCUGAUGCAGCGACGCCGCGUGGGGGAUGAAGGCCUUCGGGUUGUAAAGCACUUUCAGCGGGGAGGAAGGCGUUAAGGUUAAUAACCUUGGCGAUUGACGUUACCCGCAGAAGAAGCACCGGCUAACUCCGUGCCAGCAGCCGCGGUAAUACGGAGGGUGCAAGCGUUAAUCGGAAUUACUGGGCGUAAAGCGCACGCAGGCGGUCUGUCAAGUCGGAUGUGAAAUCCCCGGGCUCAACCUGGGAACUGCAUUCGAAACUGGCAGGCUAGAGUCUUGUAGAGGGGGGUAGAAUUCCAGGUGUAGCGGUGAAAUGCGUAGAGAUCUGGAGGAAUACCGGUGGCGAAGGCGGCCCCCUGGACAAAGACUGACGCUCAGGUGCGAAAGCGUGGGGAGCAAACAGG